CGGAGGGUGCGAGCGUUGUCCGGAAUCGACUGGGCGUAAAGGGCGCGUAGGUGGCCUGUGGAAGUCUGCGGUGAAAGCCCGGCGCUCAACGCCGGGUCGGCCGUGGAUACUCUCGGGCUCGAGCUUACUAGAGGCAGAUGGAAUUCCGGGUGUAGCGGUGGAAUGCGUAGAGAUCCGGAAGAACACCGGUGGCGAAGGCGGUCUGCUGGGGUAAUGCUGACACUGAUGCGCGACAGCGUGGGGAGCAAACAGGAUUAGAUACCCUGGUAGUCCACGCCGUAAACGAUGGGCACUAGAUGCUUGGGGGAGCGACCCCCUGAGUGUCGUCGCUAACGCAUUAAGUGCCCCGCCUGGGGAGUACGGCCGCAAGGCUG
rnacentral:rRNA from 1 species